UACGGAGGGGGCUAGCGUUGUUCGGAAUUACUGGGCGUAAAGCGCGCGUAGGCGGCUUUGUAAGUUAGAGGUGAAAGCCCGGAGCUCAACUCCGGAAAUGCCUUUAAGACUGCAUCGCUAGAAUCAUGGAGAGGUGAGUGGAAUUCCGAGUGUAGAGGUGAAAUUCGUAGAUAUUCGGAAGAACACCAGUGGCGAAGGCGACUCACUGGACAUGUAUUGACGCUGAGGUGCGAAAGCGUGGGGAGCAAACAGG
rnacentral:rRNA from 1 species